AUGGCCUGGACUCCUCUGCUCCUCGUGCUCCUCUCUCACUGCACAGGGUCCCUCUCCCAGCCUGUGCUGACUCAGCCGCCCUCCCUCUCUGCAUCUCCGGGAGCCACAGCCAGACUCACCUGCACCCUGAGCAGUGGCUCCAAUGUUGGCAGCUAUGCUAUAGGCUGGCACCAGCAGAAUCCUGGGAGCCCUCCCCGGUACCUCCUGUUCUACCACACAGACUCAAAUAAGGGCCAGGGCUCCGGGGUCCCCAGCCGCUUCUCUGGAUCCAAAGACGCCUCGGCCAAUGCGGGGCUCCUGCUCAUCUCGGGGCUUCAGCCUGAGGACGAGGCUGACUAUUACUGUGAAACAUGGGAUGGCAUCUCUAAGACUCACACAGUGGCCCAGACCCACAGGGAAAAUUCCAGGAUGAAGUCAUUCCGUGUUUACCACGAGGAGUUACAUAGAGAACACGACCGCCUUCCCAAGAUGCUCGAUAGAGACAGCCUCACCAUGAAGGGACCCAGAGGACCUGUGGACAGUAGGAGGACCUGA